rnacentral:rRNA from 2 species
AUGAACGCCGGCGGUGUGCCUAAUACAUGCAAGUCGAACGCGUUGGCCCAAUUGAUUGAUGGUGCUUGCACCUGAUUGAUUUUGGUCGCCAACGAGUGGCGGACGGGUGAGUAACACGUAGGUAACCUGCCCAGAAGCGGGGGACAACAUUUGGAAACAGAUGCUAAUACCGCAUAACAGCGUUGUUCGCAUGAACAACGCUUAAAAGAUGGCUUCUCGCUAUCACUUCUGGAUGGACCUGCGGUGCAUUAGCUUGUUGGUGGGGUAACGGCCUACCAAGGCGAUGAUGCAUAGCCGAGUUGAGAGACUGAUCGGCCACAAUGGGACUGAGACACGGCCCAUACUCCUACGGGAGGCAGCAGUAGGGAAUCUUCCACAAUGGGCGCAAGCCUGAUGGAGCAACACCGCGUGAGUGAAGAAGGGUUUCGGCUCGUAAAGCUCUGUUGUUAAAGAAGAACACGUAUGAGAGUAACUGUUCAUACGUUGACGGUAUUUAACCAGAAAGUCACGGCUAACUACGUGCCAGCAGCCGCGGUAAUACGUAGGUGGCAAGCGUUAUCCGGAUUUAUUGGGCGUAAAGAGAGUGCAGGCGGUUUUCUAAGUCUGAUGUGAAAGCCUUCGGCUUAACCGGAGAAGUGCAUCGGAAACUGGAUAACUUGAGUGCAGAAGAGGGUAGUGGAACUCCAUGUGUAGCGGUGGAAUGCGUAGAUAUAUGGAAGAACACCAGUGGCGAAGGCGGCUACCUGGUCUGCAACUGACGCUGAGACUCGAAAGCAUGGGUAGCGAACAGGAUUAGAUACCCUGGUAGUCCAUGCCGUAAACGAUGAGUGCUAGGUGUUGGAGGGUUUCCGCCCUUCAGUGCCGGAGCUAACGCAUUAAGCACUCCGCCUGGGGAGUACGACCGCAAGGUUGAAACUCAAAGGAAUUGACGGGGGCCCGCACAAGCGGUGGAGCAUGUGGUUUAAUUCGAAGCUACGCGAAGAACCUUACCAGGUCUUGACAUCUUGCGCCAACCCUAGAGAUAGGGCGUUUCCUUCGGGAACGCAAUGACAGGUGGUGCAUGGUCGUCGUCAGCUCGUGUCGUGAGAUGUUGGGUUAAGUCCCGCAACGAGCGCAACCCUUGUUACUAGUUGCCAGCAUUAAGUUGGGCACUCUAGUGAGACUGCCGGUGACAAACCGGAGGAAGGUGGGGACGACGUCAGAUCAUCAUGCCCCUUAUGACCUGGGCUACACACGUGCUACAAUGGACGGUACAACGAGUCGCGAACUCGCGAGGGCAAGCAAAUCUCUUAAAACCGUUCUCAGUUCGGACUGCAGGCUGCAACUCGCCUGCACGAAGUCGGAAUCGCUAGUAAUCGCGGAUCAGCAUGCCGCGGUGAAUACGUUCCCGGGCCUUGUACACACCGCCCGUCACACCAUGAGAGUUUGUAACACCCAAAGUCGGUGGGGUAACCUUUUAGGAGCCAGCCGCCUAAGGUGGGACAGAUGAUUAGGGUGAAGUC